AGGGAAUCUUCCACAAUGGACGCAAGUCUGAUGGAGCAACGCCGCGUGAGUGAAGAAGGUUUUCGGACCGUAAAGCUCUGUUGUUGGUGAAGAAGGAUAGAGGCAGUAACUGGUCUUUAUUUGACGGUAAUCAACCAGAAAGUCACGGCUAACUACGUGCCAGCAGCCGCGGUAAUACGUAGGUGGCAAGCGUUGUCCGGAUUUAUUGGGCGUAAAGCGAGCGCAGGCGGAAUGAUAAGUCUGAUGUGAAAGCCCACGGCUCAACCGUG
rnacentral:rRNA from 1 species